AUACGGAGGGUGCAAGCGUUGUUCGGAAUCACUGGGCGUAAAGGGCGCGCAGGCGGUUUGGUAAGUCAGAUGUGAAAGCCCAUGGCUCAACCAUGGAAGUGCAUUUGAAACUGUCAGACUUGAGUACUAGAGGGGAAAGUGGAAUUCCCGGUGUAGAGGUGAAAUUCGUAGAUAUCGGGAGGGAUACCGGUGGCGAAGGCGACUUUCUGGCUAGAUACUGACGCUGAGGCGCGAAAGCGUGGGGAGCAAACAGGAUUAGAAACCCCAGUAGUCC
rnacentral:rRNA from 1 species